rnacentral:rRNA from 1 species
UACGGAGGGGGCUAGCGUUGUUCGGAAUUACUGGGCGUAAAGCGCACGUAGGCGGCUUUGUAAGUUAGAGGUGAAAGCCCAGGGCUCAACCCUGGAAUUGCCUUUAAGACUGCAUCGCUAGAAUUGUGGAGAGGUAAGUGGAAUUCCGAGUGUAGAGGUGAAAUUCGUAGAUAUUCGGAAGAACACCAGUGGCGAAGGCGACUAACUGGACAAGUACUGACGCUGAGGUACGAAAGCGUGGGGAGCAAACAGG